AGCGAACGCUGGCGGCAUGCUUAACACAUGCAAGUCGCACGGUAUGGUUUCGGCCAUGCAGUGGCGGACGGGUGAGUAACGCGUAGGUAUCUAUCCUGGGGUGGGGGAUAACUGCGGGAAACUGCAGCUAAUACCGCAUGACACCUGUGGGUCAAAGGCGUGAGUCGCCUUGGGAGGAGCCUGCGUCCGAUUAGCUUGUUGGUGGGGUAAAGGCCUACCAAGGCGACGAUCGGUAGCUGGUCUGAGAGGAUGAUCAGCCACACUGGGACUGAGACAC
rnacentral:rRNA from 1 species